rnacentral:rRNA from 1 species
GACGAACGCUGGCGGCGUGCUUAACACAUGCAAGUCGAGCGGUAAGGCCCCUUCGGGGGUACACGAGCGGCGAACGGGUGAGUAACACGUGAGCAAUCUGCCCAUCACAUCGGGAUAACUCCGGGAAACCGAAGCUAAUACCGAAUACAACCACUUCAGACAUCUGACGGUGGUGGAAAGCUCCGGCGGUGUUGGAUGAGCUCGCGGCCUAUCAGCUUGUUGGUGGGGUAACGGCCUACCAAGGCUUCGACGGGUAGCCGGCCUGAGAGGGUGACCGGCCACACUGGGACUGAGACACGGCCCAGACUCCUACGGGAGGCAGCAGUGGGGAAUAUUGGACAAUGGGCGAAAGCCUGAUCCAGCAACGCCGCGUGAGGGAUGACGGCCUUCGGGUUGUAAACCUCUUCCAGCAGGGACGAAGCGAAAGUGACGGUACCUGCAGAAGAAGCACCGGCCAACUACGUGCCAGCCGCCGCCGUAAUAC